AGGGCUGUAGCUCAGUGGUAGAGAGUCUGCUUUGCAUGUGGAAAGAUCUGGGUUCAAUCCUCAGCAUCCCCA